rnacentral:rRNA from 1 species
GACGAACGCUGGCGGCGUGCUUAACACAUGCAAGUCGAACGGAAAGGCCCUGCUUUUGUGGGGUGCUCGAGUGGCGAACGGGUGAGUAACACGUGAGUAACCUGCCCUUGACUUUGGGAUAACUUCAGGAAACUGGGGCUAAUACCGGAUAGGAGCUCCUGCUGCAUGGUGGGGGUUGGAAAGUUUCGGCGGUUGGGGAUGGACUCGCGGCUUAUCAGCUUGUUGGUGGGGUAGUGGCUUACCAAGGCUUUGACGGGUAGCCGGCCUGAGAGGGUGACCGGCAACUUGGGGACGGGAUACAGCCCCGGCCCCCUCGGGGGGGAAGAGGGGGGGAAUUUGGAACAGGGGGGGGAGGCUGGAGGCAGAACCCCCGGGGGGGGGAUGCGGGCUUUGGGGUUUAAACCCCUUUCCGCCGGUGACGAAGCGGGAGUGACGGUAAGGGGUAAAAAAGCCCCGGCUAACUCCGGG